GGGAUAACGGUUGGAAACGGCCGCUAAUACCCCAUAUGCCGAGAGGUGAAAUGAAUUUCGCCUGAGGAUGAGCCCGCGUCUGAUUAGCUAGUUGGUGAGGUAAUGGCUCACCAAGGCAUCGAUCAGUAGCUGGUCUGAGAGGAUGAUCAGCCACACUGGGACUGAGACACGGCCCAGACUCCUACGGGAGGCAGCAGUGGGGAAUUUUCCGCAAUGGGCGCAAGCCUGACGGAGCAACGCCGCGUGAGGGAUGAAGGCCUCUGGGCUGUAAACCUCUUUUCUCAAGGAAGAAGAUCUGACGGUACUUGAGGAAUAAGCCACGGCUAAUUCCGUGCCAGCAGCCGCGGUAAUACGGGAGUGGCAAGCGUUAUCCGGAAUUAUUGGGCGUAAAGCGUCCGCAGGCGGCUUUUCAAGUCUGCUGUUAAAACGUGGAGCUUAACUCCAUCAAGGCAGUGGAAACUGAUUGGCUUGAGUGUGGUAGGGGCAGAGGGAAUUCCCGGUGUAGCGGUGAAAUGCGUAGAUAUCGGGAAGAACACCAGUGGCGAAGGCGCUCUGCUGGGCCAUAACUGACGCUCAUGGACGAAAGCCAGGGGAGCGAAAGGGAUUAGAUACCCCUGUAGUCCUGGCCGUAAACGAUGAACACUAGGUGUCGGGGGAAUCGACCCCCUCGGUGUCGUAGCCAACGCGUUAAGUGUUCCGCCUGGGGAGUACGCACGCAAGUGUGAAACUCAAAGGAAUUGACGGGGGCCCGCACAAGCGGUGGAGUAUGUGGUUUAAUUCGAUGCAACGCGAAGAACCUUACCAGGGUUUGACAUCCUGCGAAUCUCUUAGAAACKAGAGAGUGCCUUUGGGAACGCAGUGACAGGUGGUGCAUGGCUGUCGUCAGCUCGUGUCGUGAGAUGUUGGGUUAAGUCCCGCAACGAGCGCAACCCACGUUUUAGUUGCCAGCAUUCAGUUGGGCACUCUAGAGAGACCGCCGGUGAUAAACCGGAGGAAGGUGUGGAUGACGUCAAGUCAUCAUGCCCCUUACAUCCUGGGCUACACACGUACUACAAUGCUACGGACAAAGGGCAGCAAGYUCGCGAGGACAAGCAAAUCCCAUAAACCGUGGCUCAGUUCAGAUCGUAG
rnacentral:rRNA from 1 species